UCGGCACCGAAGUGUGUUUCGGCAACGAGAACGUUGUUGUUGUUGUUGUUGUUGUCGUCAUCGUCGUCGUCGCCAUCAUCGCCAUCAAGGUGCGUGUGUGCUGCUGGUGCUGCCUGCCUGCCUGCCUGCCUGCGAGGCUGCGGUGCGCGGGGGACGGGCAGGCAGGAAAGAAGGCAGGCAAACAGGCAGGCAGGGAAGGCAGGCGUGCCCUUACGCUAGUUACGUGCUCGGGUGUUGCCGCCCCGAGAGGAUUGGUAACUUGCAGAAGCUGUGGAAUGAUAUGACUCUUCCCAAUCGGAUCCCCGUGUCUGUGAAGAACCUUGGGCAUGUGAAGAAAACCUAACUUGAAACACCCUUCAAAUUUUCUGGUAACUCUUUGUAGGUAUGAGCAUCCGAUUCUGUCCUUUUGCUAUGGGUACUGAGUGGGGUUUUCUGGGCUAAAGUACUGGUGCAUGCUCUGAUUUUUUUUUUGUUGAAGCCUUCAAAAUUUUGAGGGUCAGUCUGCUUUCUUCGCACCUGAGGCGACUGUUAUUAACAUGCAUCUACCACUUACUCGUGCUCAAAAUAUUUCGAAGUCUAUCAGUGUGACUAGGCCAGGGUCUUAGAUCCUUGUGGAUCUGGGUGGAUCGCAGCUUUUCUAAUUUAACAGGCGGAUAUGGCUGUUUGAAUUCUUGGAACGCAGCUUCAUCAGCUGUACAUGGGAUAGAGAAUCGAUUACCUAGGAUCAGGUAGCAUUCAGGAUCCUCAUUGGUCACUUCACUUCUCAUGAGUUCUUCGUUGGUCAACUUCAGUCCCACGGAGAUCAGUAGUUAGAGCAAGGAGUAACUAUGUCAUCUCCCGCAUAGCUGAACGUGGGUUUCGAAAUGUGUGCAAUCUCCAUUUAAUACGCAGGCCUUGUGAAUCUUAUAAUCCAGUUACCCAGCAGGUUUCUGAGCUCCGUUCUGUACUGAUCACCAAUCUGCAUCGUGAUGUCAGACAUUGUCUUUAUGAUAGACUAUUCGACUAUGCCUGUCACCUCUUCUGUGAGUUGACACCAGCAUCUUUUUUUGUGCACUUCUGUGUUGGUAAUAAUUCCAUUGGAAUUGGAAUCUCCCCAGUCUCUUAAUCUUAUCCUGUCUCAAUGGAGUUCAUCUACGAGCACGAACAAGUUAUGCAAGUUAGUAUUCAAGCUCAAAUGAGAUCAAAUAGGUAUGACUGUUUUUGUAAGGACCUUAUUUUCUCUCUGCGGUUUCUGAUAGCGUCAUUUAGAGGUUGCUUCUGGGUGUGCUCAAAUCAAUUGGAACUUAUCGAUAUUUGUGAGGUUGACAUCCAACACAUCAUCAGUAGAGUAUGUCACUGACAGAGGAAUCAUUGGUGACAAUUGUGAUGCAAGUGCCAUUGCAUCUUUUAAUACAAUGCCAGCUGAGUCAAAUGCAUUGGAGAUAAUUGUCUGCUUUGUAAUGCCUCAAGUUAGAACCAUCGCGACUGCCAUGGCAAUCUACAACAUUUCCAGACUCAUCACGGAGUGCUUUUACGACUGUUUCCUGAGAUAAAGUUACCUUGAUUUCGUAAAUUGUUAUGUCUCACGGUAUUGGGAAAGGCACCAUGAAGUCAUGGAGGUGCCCUUUGGCAACUCCAGUAUCAGUUCAUUGAGCCCAUCAUUUAGUAUCUUUAUGACUCAGUAAGUUUGAGAAGCACUCAGUUGCGGACUGUUGGUGGUACACUGAAAUUGUUCGACGUGCUUAUAAUUGGAAUCGCUCAUGUAGCCGUAAAGCUCGGUUUUCACAUUAUGUGAAGAACUGUACUUGUCAAGCCAGAUAGGCUUCAGCUUUUGAUGUCAGGUAGUAGCUAGUGCAUACUCGUCUGUAGUGUUUGCUACCAUGUGUAUGUUGUAGGGUCUGCAUCAAAUAUAUCUAGUGCACCAUUUUUUCUGCAUCAGUUGUAUCAUAAAGAGUACCUUCCGUUUUGAA